rnacentral:rRNA from 1 species
GAUGAACGCUGGCGGCGUGCCUAAUACAUGCAAGUCGAGCGAACGGACGAGAAGCUUGCUUCUCUGAUGUUAGCGGCGGACGGGUGAGUAACACGUGGAUAACCUACCUAUAAGACUGGGAUAACUUCGGGAAACCGGAGCUAAUACCGGAUGAUAUUUUGAACCGCAUGGUUCAAAAGUGAAAGACGGUCUUGCUGUCACUUAUAGAUGGAUCCGCGCUGCAUUAGCUAGUUGGUAAGGUAAUGGCUUACCAAGGCAACGAUGCAUAGCCGACCUGAGAGGGUGGUCGGCCACACUGGAACUGAGACACGGUCCAGACUCCUACGGGAGGCAGCAGUAGGGAAUCUUCCGCAAUGGGCGAAAGCCUGACGGAGCAACGCCGCGUGAGUGAUGAAGGUCCUCGGAUCGUAAAACUCUGUUAUUAGGGAAGAACAUAUGUGUAAGUAACUGUGCACAUCUUGACGGUACCUAAUCAGAAAGCCACGGCUAACUACGUG